UGGGGGGGCACAAAAGGAUGCUGAGACGCACACAAGGGGCAGGCUCCCUUUGACUUCCUGAACUGGGGAGCGAACACAAUCACUCCCAGCUCCAAAAAAGAGCCAGAGAUUGCAGGAUACACACAAACCCCAUGAGCCACCAGGAGCAGGGCCCAGCCAGGCUGGCAUCCAGGCGGACACACUUGAGUGGAUCACAGAUCGCCAGGAGAUAGCGGCACCCAGGGAGCACUCAGAGACGGGCCAGCCCUCCCACAGCUCAGCGUCCCACCAGCCUGGCUCUGCCAAAAAUCAGAGCCCUUGAGGUCAACAAUGGUGUUGCUUUUGAAAGUCCCAGGAGUUUCUUUCCCCCUGAAAGAUGCAAGCAAAGGGUUGAAACAAUGCCCUUCCUCACGCAGCAUCCUCAGCGAGCUUCAAACACCACCCAAGGAAAAAG
rnacentral:lncRNA from 1 species